AUGAAAAUAAUGAUGAAGAUCUUUAAAGUUAUUGAUGCGUCUCCUAUUAGAUCUAUGUUUUGCAAUAUGAAUCUUGAUAAUUAUGGGACUGAUGAUGAGUCAACUUUACCUAGAAGGCGUCCCAAGAAUUCAGAGUUUUUAGAUCUUGAUGCUAAAUUUGGUAAAAGUGGGAUUGGAGAGGUCACAACUUUAAAUAGCAUUGAACCCACUAUCUCGGAUUUCAUGGAAUUUGAUUAUGAUAAUUGUUCUUUAGAAGGUUGUAUUUCCUUGUUGCAAUCCGUUGUUAAUUCUCCUCAUGCUUAUAGUCAAAAUAAAGCUUUUACCAAACAUAUUGUUGAUGCCUUGAUGCAAUCUGAUGAUGAAAAACUUAAUUGGGAAGUUUCUAUACCAAGAAAACUUAAUGAUGAGUGGGAACCUACUAUAAAGAUUAGAAUUAAAGAUCAUGAGUGUUUUGCCUUGUGUGAUUUCGGUGCUAGUGUUUCCACGAUUCCGAAAACUUUAUGUGAUAUUCUAGGUUUCCAUGAUCUUGAUGAUUGCUCUUUAAAUUUGCACCUUGCGGAUUCCACCAUUAAAAAGCCAAUGGGAAGGAUCAAUGAUGUUCUCAUUGUCGCAAAUAGAAAUUUGGUGCCCGUGGAUUUUAUCGUUCUUGAUAUAGAUUGCAAUCUUUCUUGCCCUAUUAUUCUUGGUAGACCUUUCCUUAGAACGAUUGGCGCGAUUAUUGAUAUGAAGGAAGGGAAUAUUAGAUUCCAAUUUCCAUUAAAGAAAGGCAUGGAGCAGUUUCCAAGAAAGAAAGUCAAAUUACCUUAUGAAUCUAUCAUGCGGGCUACUUAUGAAUUUAGUGCCAAAGAUGGCACUCGUUAG
rnacentral:rRNA from 1 species